rnacentral:rRNA from 1 species
GCUGCGGGUGCCUUACACAUGCAAGUCGAACGGCAGCACGGACYUCGGUCYGGUGGCGWGWGGCGAACGGGUGWGUAAUGUAUCGGAACGUGCCCWGUAGCGGGGGAUAACYACGCGAAWGCGUAGCYAAUACCGCAUACGCCCUACGGGGGAAWGCAGGGGAUCGCAAGACCUUGCACUAUUGGAGCGGCCGAUAUCGGAUUWGCUAGUUGGUGGGGUAACGGCUCACCAAGGCGACGAUCCGUAGCUGGUUUGAGAGGACGACCAGCCACACUGGGACUGAGACACGGCCCWGACUCCUACGGGAGGCAGCAGUGGGGAAUUUUGGACAAUGGGGGAAACCCUGAUCCAGCCAUCCCGCGUGUGCGAUGAAGGCCUUCGGGUUGUAAAGCACUUUUGGCAGGAAAGAAACGUCGCGGGUUAAUACCCCGCGAAACUGACGGUACCUGCAGAAUAAGCACCGGCUAACUACGUGCCAGCAGCCGGG